UUAAAAAAUUUUCUCUAUCAGAGAAAAGCAAUUUUCAUUACUUAAAAAGACUUUUACAGGGAGAUAAUUCUUUUGAUAAGUUAUCUCCCCUGUUAACUUAUUUUUUUUCCAUUUUCAUGAAAUGCAAUUUCUUUAACAUUUUAAAACAAACUUCUUCAGUAAUACACACAUCUAAAUAUCAUCUGAAUUGUCAAACUGAUUUUUAAAGAUUUCCUUGAUAUGGUUAAUAAAAAAAUUGCAUUUCAAAUGCAUAGAAAACUAACAAGGUAAAUGAAAAUAAAAUAAAAAGGAAAGUAAGUGUUUCUUUAUGGAUCAUGAGGACCUACAUAAAACGUACAAAAGAGAUUGGUAUAAAACAUGUCUUUCCUGUGGGCAGUAAAGAAACAACAUCAAAAACCAAGUAGUAGUAGUAAUAAUGAUAAUAAUAAUAAUGAUAAUAAUAAUAAUGGUUUCAAAUUUUGGCCCAUGGCCAGCACUAUUAAUGGGUGGGGGUUAGUCGAUUGCAGCAGCCCUAGUACUUUACUGGUGUCUAUUUUUAUAGAGCCCAAAAGGGUGAAAGGCACAGUUGACCUUGGCAGAAUUUGAACUCAGAACAUAACAAGUCAGAAGAAAUAUGACUAGGCAUACCUCUAGGCAUUUUGUAUGACAUGCGAAUGAUUCUGCCAGGUCACAGCCAUAACAAUAAUACUAAUAGUGAUAAUAAUAAUAAUAAGAAUGCUACAGACACCUGGUCUCAAAUUUUGGGGAAUAGACUAAUCAGUUAUAGUGACCUAGUUACUAUAUUUUAUUGCCUCCUUGAAGGGUUAAAGGAAAACAUGAAUAUUAAAUAGAAUGAAAGAAAACUACAUAGAAAACCUUCUUUGCUAUAUGAAAAUAAAAAAAACCAAAGGGAGUAAAAUAAAAAUGUCAUCAGUAUCUCUCAGAAUUUUUAUUGUGUUUUUGGGUUUUUUGUAUAUAAUUUCAGUUUUUGUUUGAUAAUAAUUGGUGAUAGUUAAGUUUUGUUUUGAUAGUUAUAUAUAGCUUUAAACAAAGGCAUUGCUAUAAUGUACAUAUUUUACCAAACCCAAAUCUUUGUUUUUCUCCAUCACACUGUGUGUGUGUGUAUGUGUGUGUGUGUAUGUAUGUAUGUACAAGGGUAGCCAUCGCAUCAAUAUAUGCUGUUAUUACAUUUAAAAAUUUUUAUGUUUGUUAGCAACUGUCUUUCACUAUUUGUAAUUGUAUGAAUGUACAGAUGUAUUUGUAUGUAUGGAUAUAUGUAUAUGUAUGUACGUAUAUGUUACUUUUCCCAAACAUGAAACAUUGGGUUAAGUGUUCUCAUUUCAAAAUACAACUUCUCAUGCCCACUUAUUAAACAAAUUUGUAUUUUAUAUGUUUCUUCUUCACAUAUUGGUGGGUGUUAGGUGUUAAAGAUCCUUACUUUAAAACCUGUAUCAUCCUAGUGUAGAGUGAAAUAGGUAACACAUAAAUGUUUGACAUGUUUAGCGUUUGUUUCAGUCUGAUGGCACUAAGUAUUCAUGAAAGAAAAUUGAUUUUUAUUUUUUUAUAUAUUUAUUUUUCACCCCUAUUGUUUAUUUAUAGAAUAAAAAUGUCUAUAUGUUGUUAUGAAUAGGAGAGUUUGUGGAAUAUCUGAUAAAUCCAUUUGCUGUGAGGAUUGGAAAGACUAACAAUUUGGGUUCCUAUCCUUUCAUGUCUUCUACUACUCUUUCCUGAAGAGCAAGAGUCUGAAACAUCUGACAAAAUACUAACAGCAGCUGAAUUUUAUUAAAAUUCAAUGAACUCUCUUUUUUGGUUUAUCGUUGCCAUCACAGAUCCAGAUCAUUCAGAUUCCAAGCUUUAUCCUACAUGUUGGAUAAGGAUAAAGUUUUGCAACUGCUUGUUUGUAGGCGGUUGUGACCUCGAAAAUCCACAGCAGGCAUUAUGUUGUGUUUCUGGAUAGAACACUUACUUUAUAAUGCCCCAUUUCUCCUAGCAACUAGGAAUAUGGGCCAGAAUUUGACCUCCAAUAGACUAAUGCCCUAACCAGGCAUUGAUUUGUGUGUCAUCUGAUUUAUGCUAUAAAACUAGAGAUAAUUUCCAACCCAUAAAAAACACUGUUUGGGUUUAGGAAACAUAUUUAUAAUCAAAAUCUGUUUUUAGUCUUCUUAAUUAUUUCUUAAUUAAUUAUUAACCAUAUUCUGUAGGUGACAGUAUUUUCUUCAAAUCAGUAUUUGUUACACACUUGUAUGUUAAUCAUUGAAAUUACAUCAUAUUUCUGUGUUGUUAUAACUACAUAUUGUCAUAUCUGUUUGUCUUAUUUAUUCUGAUUUUAUCAUUAUUUAUUGAAAAAAACCCAGAAAUUUUGUAUCCAAAAGUGUUGAUAUUGCAUUAUUGUUCUUGAAACACGUUUAAAAUAGUUGAGUAAUAAAGUUUGGCAGAAAAUUUUCAACUGAAGAGUUAGGCUGUUCUAUCUCCUCUUUAUUCAAAGUAAAACAUAUAUCUCUGCACA